AGAACAUCACACCACCAGAGAAUGGUAGGAGGAGGUGCUGACAGUUUAAUGGUCUCCUUUGGAUAGUCACCAAUAACUCAUUAUGUUUUUCUGGGGUCCACAUAUUGGCUGGGCUGAGUCACUUAUUUUGAAACAAAAUGAAGAGAAAAUUUCUACAGUUGCUAUUUCCUGUUUUUCUAAUGCAGCUUGCUGCAUUUAUAUAAACAUGCUAGGAUUGCUGUGGUUAUUUGAAAGAAUGACCUCCUCUGACAGGGAUGUGGAUUCCAGGCAUAUGGCUGACUAUGAGAGACUGACUCAAGAUGGCAUGAUAUAGAACACUUAGUCUUGCUUUCAUCAGUGCAUGGACAUUUGAGCUGCUUCAGCCUUUUGGCUAUGAUGAACAUGCUUGGAAUGCUAUGAACAUUUGUGCACAAGUUCUUGUGUGGACAGACAUUUUAAAUUCUCUUGGUUAUGGACUUUGGAUUGGAAUUUCUGGUUUGUAUGCUAACUCCAUGUUUAACUUUUAAAAGAAACUGACAAACUGUUUUCCAAAGCAACUGAACCAUUUUACAUUCCCAUGAGAGUUCCAAUUUCUCCACAUCGUCACUAAUACUUAUUUAUUGUCUGUUAUAUCCAUCCUAGUACAUGCAAAGUGGUAAGGAAGAUGAAUUUUACAGAAACUCACAUUACAGGAAUCUUUUUCCAUGGGAUUUCCUUAAUGAUGAAUUAUCUUGUUCAUUUAACUUACAUCAAUUUAUUACAAAAAUCAAUUUUCACAAAAUUGUAAAAGUUUCUUUAAGAAACUCAUUCCUUAAACCUACCUGUUAAUUAGUUGAAAUGAUAUGUUAACUAAGAAAAGUCUUCAAGCUUGAGGAAAGUGCUAGAAUUAGUACUAGGAGAUUGAUACUGUCACAGUAGCAACUUAUUUAUCUGGCAUGACUGGGGAAAGAGAUGGUUUCUUCAGGUGAAAUGUUGGGCUUAUUCCUUUUAAAACUUCUUAUACUUUCAAGUCAUUUCUGGUGGAAUCCUUUCUAAUGUGCCUUUUGAGACACAAAGUGCAAAGAUGAUUUAGUCAUUCUUGAUAACUCGAAAUGUGCUGUAAACAUCCAUUAUAAUACUCUGUUUAAAUCCAGUUAAACAAUCAUGGACUUGUGACAUGAGAUAUAUAGAGC
rnacentral:lncRNA from 1 species